AUACAGAGGGUGCAAGCGUUAUUCGGAAUUACAGGGCGUAAAGCGCGCGUCGGCGGAUGAUUAAGUCAGUUGUGAAAGCCCUGGGCUCAACCUAGGAACUGCAUCUGAUACUGGUCGUCUAGAGUUUAAGAGAGGGAAGUGGAAUUCCAGGUGUAGCAGUGAAAUGCGUAGAUAUCUCGAGGAACAUCAGUGGCGAAGGCGACUUCCUGGCUUAAAACUGACGCUGAGGUGCGAAAGCGUGGGUAGCGAACGGGAUUAGAAACCCGAGUAGUCC
rnacentral:rRNA from 1 species